CGUAGGUGGCAAGCGUUGUCCGGAUUUAUUGGGUUUAAAGGGUGCGUAGGUGGCCCUGUAAGUCAGUGGUGAAAUAUCUCAGCUUAACUGAGAGGGUGCCAUUGAUACUGCAGGGCUUGAGUACAGAUGAGGUAGGCGGAAUUGACGGUGUAGCGGUGAAAUGCAUAGAUAUCGUCAAGAACACCGAUAGCGAAGGCAGCUUACCAAGCUGUAACUGACACUGAGGCACGAAGGUGUGGGGAUCAAACAGGAUUAGAUACCCUGGUAGUCCACACUGUAAACGUUGAUGACUCGAUGUUGGCGAUACACAGCCAGCGUCCAAGAGCAAUCGUUAAGUCAUCCACCUGGGGAGUACGCCGGCAACGGUG
rnacentral:rRNA from 1 species